rnacentral:rRNA from 1 species
ACUGCUAUCGGGGUGGGACUAAGACAUGCGAGUCGAGCGUCUCUAGCUAUGUUGAGACGCGGCAUACGGCUCAGUAACACGUGGCUAACCUACCCUCAGGACGGGGACAAACCCGGGAAACUGGGGCUAAUAUCCGAUAGGCGAGGAAUCCUGGAAUGGUUCUUCACCCAAAGGACAUUGGAAACAUGCUUUCUCUGUCGCCUGGGGAUGGGGCCGCGUCCGAUCAGGUUGUUGGUGAGGUAAUGGCUCACCAAGCCUUUAACCGGUACGGGCCGUGAGAGCGGUAGCCCGGAGAUGGGUACUGAGACAAGGACCCAGGCCCUACGGGGCGCAGCAGUCGCGAAAACUCCGCAAUGCACGAAAGUGUGACGGGGCUACCCCGAGUGCCGUCCGCUGAGGAUGGCUUUUCCUUGGUGUAACUAGCCGGGGGAAUAAGGAGAGGGCAAGACUGGUGUCAGCCGCCGCGGUAAUACCAGCUCUCCGAGUGGUAGGGAUGAUUAUUGGGCUUAAAGCGUCCGUAGCCGGUUUAGCAAGUUUCCUGUUAAAUUCAACGACCUAAUCGUUGAGCCGCGGGAAAUACUACUAGGCUAGGAGGCGGGAGAGGUCGACGGUACUUCUGGGGUAGGGGUGAAAUCCUAUAAUCCCGGGAGGACCACCAGUGGCGAAGGCUGUCGACUAGAACGCGCUCGACGGUGAGGGACGAAAGCUGGGGGAGCGAACCGGAUUAGAUACCCGGGUAGUCCCAGCUGUAAACGAUGCGGGCUAGGUGUUGGGGUGGCUACGUGCCGCUUCAGUGCCGCAGGGAAGCCAUUAAGCCCGCCGCCUGGGGAGUACGGCCGCAAGGCUGAAACUUAAAGGAAUUGGCGGGGGAGCACCACAAGGCGCGAAG